rnacentral:lncRNA from 1 species
UUGAGAUUUUGAGACUACAACUCGUCUUUCUAUCCCUGUGUGGGAACUCUACUUUUUAAGAAUUUUUUUUUAAAGCCUUUAUCUUAUCUCCUAUAAUCAAUACUGAGUGGGAAGCAGUUCUCUGGCCUUGAAGAGUUUAUAAUCUAGAAGCAGUGAGAAGAAAACAAGCGCAUCAAUCAUCAAGCACUUGCUAGAGGCAAGAAACCAAAGUACAAAGAAUCCCUACUCACCAGGGACUUAGUCAACAAGAUGGGUAUGCAAAGGUAAAACAAAACAAAAAGGCAUCCACACACCAAGUCCCUGCCCUCAAUCAGCUUACAUUCUAAAGGAAGAGGUGACCAGCAACUAAGUACCAAGAUAUAUAAUGUGUAAAUAGAAGAAGGAAGACACUGGAGUUGGGGAGAAGGGGUAGAGACUGCAGGGACCUUUUAAAGAUGGAUCCCAGUUCUCCAAACUCUACUCUUGGAUUUUAAGGCAAGGGCCCUCUGAGAAAUCCAGGCGGAGAUGGGAAACCAGGAAGUUAUCAGUUCACUGAUCAGAUCUACCUUCUCCUCUACUGCUGAGAGGAAGGGGGUAUAUUCUGAACCGAGAGAUAACUGGCUUUUGGGAAACCAGGAAAGUUGAUUGAGUGGGAGGAAGCAGUAAAGCCCAGCUACCAGCCACCAACUAGUCCAACAAAGAUCUAAGAAGAGGAUCAGAUAUUGUACAAUGAUCACCUGUGAAAGACAGUUACUUGCAGCAGUACAAUGAUCUGGACAAUUCUGAUGGACUUAUUGCAAAGAAUGCUCUCUACCUCCAGAGGAAGAACUAUUGGAGUCAGAUGCAGAUCAAAGCAUAUAAUCUUCUACAUGGUUUAGGAUUUUUAUUUUAGAUAAUUAUUCUCUUACAACAAUGGCCAAUAUGGAAUAUUUUUGUAUGAUAAUACAUGCAUAACCCAAAUAAAAUUGCAUACUGUCUCA